rnacentral:snoRNA from 1 species
GAGCGUAGAGGAAAAUGUGAGUGAUAAUGGGAGUGAGGAUGAGAUUCAGAAGAGGAUGAGAAGGGAGGAUGAGAGGGAGAAGUAACAAAAGUGAAAACAAUUUCAAAUAGAUUUCACUUUUGUUACUCCUCCCUCACGUCCUCCACUCUCAUUCCCACUUUCAUUCUCUCUUUUUCCUCUAUACUCU